UACGAAGGGGGCUAGCGUUGUUCGGAAUCACUGGGCGUAAAGCGCACGUAGGCGGAUUUUUAAGUCAGGGGUGAAAUCCCGAGGCUCAACCUCGGAACUGCCUUUGAUACUGGAGAUCUUGGGUCCGGAAGAGGUAAGUGGAACUGCGAGUGUAGAGGUGAAAUUCGUAGAUAUUCGCAAGAACACCAGUGGCGAAGGCGGCUUACUGGUCCGGAACUGACGCUGAGGUGCGAAAGCGUGGGGAGCAAACAGG
rnacentral:rRNA from 1 species